AGUUUCUGACAUAUCUAUAGCAAAACAAACAAACAAACAUCAAUAAAUAACAGUUUCAACGCUAACUUAAAUAUUCUUUCGUUAUUUGUGUAGGUACGAGAGUUUGAGGCUAAAAAAUAAUGAAUACAAGGUGGUGAAUACGAUAAUCUAGCAACGCUGGGUGUAGGUAGCGUAUGAGAGGAAGGGAUAGGUGGAUGGAGUGUGUGGAAGAGCAGAGGGGAGGAAUGGACCAGCGGGAGACAACACCAGAUAGGCCUCGACAAUUUGGUUACACUGUACGGAUGUCCCUCAAAUAGUACAGUUUCCAAUACGUAGUUCAGUUUAUGGUUUUACGUCGAUUUUCUGAGAUUUUUUAGGGUUUUUGAAUUUCCCGACGAGCAUGAAAUGUAAAAAUCCUAAAUUAUCUUCUAUGACAGUCUGUAUAUAACUGAAACCGAGCUAUUGGAAAAUGUACGAUUUGAGGGAUGACUGUAUUAAAUAUUCAAGUUUUCGUGGGGCUCUCUAAGGGUAGGAUAGGUUACUCGUAUAGGCUACAUUUCGCUGCUGCGGGCGAUACGUAGCUAUUUUUCCGUCAAUUUGGUGUCACUGUACGGAUGUCCCUCAAAUAGUACAGUUUCCAAUACGUAGUUCAGUUUAUGGUUUUACGUCGAUUUUCUGAGAUUUUUUAGGAUUUUUGAAUUUCCCGACGAGCAUGAAAUGUAUAAAUCCUAAAAUAUCUUCUAUGACAGUCUGUAUAUAACUGAAACCGCGCUAUUGGAAAAUGUACGAUUUGAGGGGUGACUGUAUUAAAUAUUCAAGUUUUCGUGGGGCUCUCUAAGGGUAGGAUAGGUUACUCGUAUCAGCUACAUUUCGCUGCUGCGGGCAAUACGUAACUAUUUUUCCGUCAAUUUGGUUUCACUGUACGGACCUCCCUCAAAUAGUACAGUUUCCAAUAGUUCAGUUUAUGGUUUUACGUCGAUUUUCUGAGAUUUUUUAGGGUUUUUGAAUUUCCCGACAAGCAUGAAAUGUAAAAAUCCUAAAUUAUCUUCUAUGACAGUCUGUAUAUAACUGAAACCGAGCAAUUGGAAAACGUACGAUUUGAGGGAUGACUGUAUUAAAUAUUCAAGUUUUCGUGGGGCUCUCUAAGGGUAGGAUAGGUUACUCGUAUCGGCUACAUUUCGCUGCUGCGGGCGAUACAUAGCUAUUUUUUCGUCAUCAGGUUGCGGUUUUUUUUUUAACAUCAAAGGACGCGGCUUACGGGCAACAAAAAGUACAAAAAAAAAAGGUCCGCUACUCGACACUCCCACAAAAUUCAAAAGUAGCCAAACGCGAGGUCAAUUUUGAGUGGAAAGGCGUCUUGAUACACUAUUCUUGAAGGAGGUCGAGUCAUAGGCAGGAGGCUAGGUUAGGUUAGGUUAGGUUAGUAUUUUAUUAUUGACAUGUAACUAUUUUAGGCUAGGAUUAUAUAGGAUUUUACGAGUUGAUAAUUUGCUAUUUCUAAUGUUCCUACGGCACUGUUAGGUUAGUCGAAGUUACAAUUAUAUCGUCAAUACGUAACUGUCCCAAUUCGCUGUUUACGUAAGGUUCUGUUAGGUUAGUUUAGGUUUUUAGGGAAUUUUAGAUGAUAAGUUAAUAUUUCUUACGUUCCUAUGACAUUGUUAGCUCAGACGAAGUUACAAUUAUAUCAUCAAUACCUAACUGUCCAAAUUCGCUGUUUACGUAAGGUUCUGUUAGGUUAGUUUAGGUUUUUAGGGAAUUUUAGAUGAUAAGUUACUAUUUCUUACAUACCUAUGACAUUGUUAGCUCAGACGAAGUUACAAUUACAUCGUCAAUACGUAACUGUCCAAUUCACUGUUUUCGUAAGGUUCUGUUAGGUUAGUUUAGGUUUGUAGGGAAUUUUAGAUGAUAAGUUACUAUUUCUUACGUUCCUAUGACAUUGUUAGCUCAGACGAAGUUACAAUUACAUCGUCAAUACGUAACAGUCCUAUCUGUUGUUUACGUAAGGUUCUGUUAGGUUAGUUUAGGUUUUUAGGGAAUUUUAGAUGAUAAGUUAAUAUUUCUUACGUUCCUAUGACAUUGUUAGCUCAGACGAAGUUACAAUUACAUCGUCAAUACGUAACUGUCCCAAUUCGCUGUUUUCGUAAGGUUCUGUUAGGUUAGUUUAGGUUUUUAGGGAAUUUUAGAUGAUAAGUUACUAUUUCUUACAUUCCUAUGACAGUGUUAGCUCAGACGAAGUUACAAUUAUGUCGUCAAUACGUAACUGUCCCAAUUCGCUGUUUACGUAAGGUUCUGUUAGGUUAGUUUAGGUUUUAAGGGAAUUUUAGAUGAUAAGUUAAUAUUUCUUACAUUCCUAUGACAUUGUUAGCUCAGACGAAGUUACAAUUACAUCGUCAAUACGUAACUGUCCCAAUUCGCUGUUUACGUAAGGUUCUGUUAGGUUAGUUUAGGUUUUUAGGGAAUUUUAAAUGAUGGUUUAUGAUUUCUCAAGUUCGUGUGGCAUUCAAAAUUUCAUCUUUAUUUUUUCAGCGACAGGUUACUAUUGUUAGGUUAGGUUAGGUUAGGUUAGGUUAGGUUACUAUUUCAUUAUUGACAUGUAACUAUUUUAGGCUAGGAUUAUAUAGGAUUUUACGAGUAGACAAUUUGCUAUUUCUAAUGUUCCUACGGCACUGUUGGGUUAGUCGAUGUUACAAUUAUAUCGUCAAUACGUAACUGUCCCAAUUCGCUGUUUACGUAAGGUUCUGUUAGGUUAGUUUAGGUUUUUAGGGAAUUUUAGAUGAUAAGUUACUAUU